rnacentral:rRNA from 1 species
AAGAAGGCCUUUUGGUUGUAAAGCACUUUAAGCGAGGAGGAGGCGCUCUAGGAUAAUACCCUAGAUGCGUGGACGUUACUCGCAGAAUAAGCACCGGCUAACUCUGUGCCAGCAGCCGCGGUAAUACAGAGGGUGCGAGCGUUAAUCGGAUUUACUGGGCGUAAAGCGCGCGUAGGUGGCUAAUUAAGUCAAAUGUGAAAUCCCCGAGCUUAACUUGGGAAUUGCAUUCGAUACUGGUUAGCUAGAGUAUGGGAGAGGAUGGUAGAAUUCCAGGUGUAGCGGUGAAAUGCGUAGAGAUCUGGAGGAAUACCGAUGGCGAAGGCAGCCAUCUGGCCUAAUACUGACACUGAGGUGCGAAAGCAUGGGGAGCAAACAGGAUUAGAUACCCUGGUAGUCCAUGCCGUAAACGAUGUCUACUAGCCGUUGGGGCCUUUGAGGCUUUAGUGGCGCAGCUAACGCGAUAAGUAGACCGCCUGGGGAGUACGGUCGCAAGACUAAAACUCA